UUUCUUUCUUAUGCCUUCUACCUUUAUUUUAUUUUCUUCCUUUCCUUGCUUUCUUUCCUCCUGCUGCAUCUUCCUAUCUUUCCCUCACCUUCCUUCCUGCCCUCAGUGUCUUGCUCCUUCCCUUCAUUAUCCCUUUCUCCCUUUCCUUUCUUCACACCUCCAUCUCACUACCUUCAUAUCAUCUUUGUUCUGUCCUUCCUUACCCCUUUUUCCUCUCUUAUGUUCCUUUGUCCUUCCCUGCCUCCAAACUUUAGCUUCUUUUUCUUUCUUCCUUUUAUUCCUCUCUUUCACCCAAUUUGAAUGUUAUCAGUCCAUUAAAUUAAUGUUUUUAGCAGUUUUUCAGUCCCAUAGUUAAGGGCCAGGAGGGGCCGUCUCCACCUCCUAGUGGUUCCAGUAGAGGAUCACUGACACGCAUGAAGGACUGCAGAUUCCAUGUUCACUGACUCGGUGGAUUCAGCAGUGUUUACACGUGUGGGAACAGUGGUUCAGAGGGUGCACUUCAGGACUGUUAAAAGAAGGUGGUGAGAUGGACUGGAUUAAUCUUAGGUCAGAUUACUGGCCUAACAUCAGCCUCUUGUGAGGUCUGUCUAAAGAAGACUAACAAAUUCAUUGCAGCGUCCCGAGAAGAUGGAUGUAAGAACAGAAGCACACAAACAUGUAGUUGUAGUGAGCUGCCAGUAAUUUUAGAUGGAUUUGUUCCUCUAACUCAUGUCUCUGUCUGUCUGUCAGCCCAUUGGUGACCUGUCCAGGGUGAACCUACCUGUACCUGUUGGGAUAGGCUCCAGCCCUCCACCCACACCCUGACAAUCAAAUGUGGACAGACUAACUUCUUUUUUUAGAUUCUUCUAGAAAUCAUAUUCUAGAGUGUUCUUGGAUUUGUGGUAUUAAUAUUAGAGCCAUCUUACUUACAGAAUUCCAACCAGGAGUCAUCUUCCCUGAGAUUAUUCCUAUAUUUACAUGAAGGCCAGCAUAACUGUGCUGUGUACAUGAAGAAUGCCGGUCACUGUCAGUUUGUUCUUCUGCACUCAAAAUUAUAUUGAGAAGUUAAAGAAUCCAUUCAUCCUCUUUCUUAACAGCUUGCCCAGUUAAUGGAGCUCUGCAGUGUAUCCCUGACGCAGGGAACACUGCAGAGUCUGUUGCGAUGUGUUAAGCAAUGUAUUCAUAUUUAAUAAAAAAAUGAAUCAAUGAUUUUCUAUAAAUUUGUGAUGCAUUUUUGAUUACUGAUUCCAGGAUUGCGUAGUGGUCUUUAGAGAGAUUGUUUGGGUUUUUAAAUAUUUCUGUUUUCCAGCGCAGCUCUGCAGUCACUGUCCAGGUGGGUCAGUGGGAGCAGAGGCCCUCUGCUAAUGUACAGGCUCUGAUCAGCAGCAUCCAGCAAGACCCCCCACACAGCCUCUACCUGCUGGAGCUUUUUGUUUGCCUGUGACUGCUUUAAUCCCAGAGGAAGCAGCAGACAGUUCGAGGGGUUUGGGCUCACAGAUGGUGACAGCAUGGAGAGACUGUGGUCCUUCUCCUGAAGAACUGCAGAAGUCACAGAGGAGAUGAGUCCAUCUCACUGUCUGGACUUGCUGACUGACGUUCUUCUGCACUGCAGAUGCUGAGUGUGACCUCAGAGGCCAGCUGGUCUGCAGACUUAGAAGUGAAGCAAGGCAGAGGGCAGUCUGCAGCUUCAAAGAAAACAUCCAGCCUCGACUGGCAGGAUCUCAGCAUCAGACUGUCCAAACAGGCGCCAGCUUCAACAACAGACUGACAGCCAACAAAGGAAAACAGCAGCUUCCGUGGGCUCCACAGGUUAAGGUGACGUUUCAAGGAGUCUUCAGAGAGCAGGGACUGAUGUCACGUAUCGAUCACAGUGAUUAUGAAGAUACAGCUACGACUGUAAAAGUCUGACCAUGACUGUUUUGCUGCUUCCUGAUUAUUACCUGGAGGUUAUGUUUUUGGUCGCGUUGGUUUGUUUGUCUGUCAGCAGGAUUACUCCAAAAGUUAUGAACGGAUUUUGAUGAAAUUUUCUGGAGUGGUUGGAAAUGACAAGAGGA